AGGGGAGUAGCUCAGUUGGUAGAGCGACGGUCUCCAACACCGUAGGUCGCGGGUUCGAUCCCUGUCUCCCCUGCCA
rnacentral:tRNA from 1 species